rnacentral:lncRNA from 1 species
UCCAGACGAAGCUCAGCCCUCAACUGCUGCUGCUCCAUUGCAAUUAUUGAUGCCUGUGGACUGGUGGACAUACUUUCCUCUGGUUCCUUAAAUCCUGGAGAGUUUCCUACAUCUCCACUUACAAAGCUGACAACAUUUUCAAUCAAAGUAUGAACUCCAAGAGAUCGUGAGAGAUCAAAAUCGGACUCAAUAAAUGAGUAGGAAGAAGUGUACAACCAAUCUCUGCUGUGCUUCAGUCGAGCCCAUGAGUCAGUUAAAGGUUCCACUUGACUGUGUAUUGCUCCCCUUUUUCUAUGUGAUGAUGCCAAGUCCAAAUCAACGUUUCGUCUUCCACUCAGUGAAUAACCUUCCUCAUCUGAUUCAGGCUGAGAUAAAUCUGAUUCACUUCUUGACUUCAUCAGUCUAUAGUUUGAGUUUGCAUGGAUUGAGCGACUCUCUGCAGUAAGACUUUCACUCCUUGUCAUUAGUCCAAUUCCCUCAGGAGCAGUAGAGGGAGGUUGCUGUAAGUGCCCAUCCUCCCUUCGCUUCUGAAAAUCCUCAAUAACCGGGCUCACUCCCAGGAUCAACAAGGCAGAUCUGUGGAUUACAGAGUUGCAUGCAGCAGUAUACACAUCUUGGCCUUCUGUCAGAUCAGUGCUGAUUCUUCUUUCCUGCUGAGACUGAGGAGGUUGAUCAUCAAGUCUAGUCCCUGUCCCAGUGCUCAUCCUAUCUCGAUCCCGACUGCGAGCUACUUCACGGGCUGAUAGGAAACAUUGAAAUAUUUUACCAGCUGUCAUAACUUCAUGUUCUCUUUCCUCUUCUUCAUCUUCCUGUUCUAUGUGUCCUUCUUCUCUGUCCCGCUCUGCCUGCUCCUCCAUUUCUGCUUCCUCAUCAAUUGUACGAGUAAAAGAAUGCUCUUGAGUAUCCACAUCAGCUGAUUCUUGGUUAUCCAGCAUCCAUCUGUCUCUUGAUGAUGACCUAGUCUGAAUAAGCUCCAUGUUCUUGCAGGCAAGCAAGCGACUCCGAACUUUAUAAACACAACGGUAUACCUCUGCUAAGGCUUUGCCAGGCUGAUACCUAUAAAAGAGAUCCCAAACAAAAAAAAAGAAAAUCAUACAAAUUUUCUUUUAAAAAUUAGAACUGAGCUUUUAAAGGCAGCUUCGAGUUACUUGCCUGCUCUCACC